AGAAACUUAGGUUAACAUCAUUAAACCAAGAGCCUUCAAAGCCCUAAACAGAGGAUACCCCUCUAGUCUMUG
rnacentral:tRNA from 2 species